rnacentral:rRNA from 1 species
AUACGGAGGAUGCAAGCGUUGUUCGGAAUCACUGGGCUUAAAGCGCGUGUAGGCGGUUCGGUAAGUAUCUUGUGAAAUCCCCGGGCUCAACCUGGGAAUUGCUCGGUAUACUGCCGGACUUGAGGCGGAUAGGGGUGCCUGGAACUCUAGGUGGAGCGGUGAAAUGCGUAGAUAUCUAGAGGAACGCCUGAGGCGAAAGCGGGGCACUGGGUCCGAUCUGACGCUGAGACGCGAAAGCGUAGGGAGCAAACGGGAUUAGAAACCCCGGUAGUCC